GACGAACGCUGGCGGCGUGCCUAAUACAUGCAAGUAGAACGCUGAAGAGAGGAGCUUGCUCUUCUUGGAUGAGUUGCGAACGGGUGAGUAACGCGUAGGUAACCUGCCUUGUAGCGGGGGAUAACUAUUGGAAACGAUAGCUAAUACCGCAUAACAAUGGAUGACACAUGUCAUUUAUUUGAAAGGGGCAAUUGCUCCACUACAACAUGGACCUGCGUUGUAUUAGCUAGUAGGUGAGGUAAUGGCUCACCUAGGCGACGAUACAUAGCCGACCUGAGAGGGUGAUCGGCCACACUGGGACUGAGACACGGCCCAGACUCCUACGGGAGGCAGCAGUAGGGAAUCGUCGGCAAUGGGGGCAAACCUGACCGAGCAACGCCGCGUGAGUGAAGAAGGUUUUCGGAUCGUAAAGCUCUGUUGUAAGUCAAGAACGGGUGUGAGAGUGGAAAGUUCACACUGUGACGGUAGCUUACCAGAAAGGAACGGCUAACUACGUG
rnacentral:rRNA from 1 species